GCCUUCGUGGUGUAAUGGUCAGCAUGCUCGACGCGUAACCGAGAGAUCCGUGGUUCGAUUCCAGGCGAAGGCG
rnacentral:tRNA from 1 species